GAAAUGCGAUACGUAAUGUGAAUUGCAGAUUUCAGUGAAUCAUCGAAUCUUUGAACGCACAUUGCGCCCGCCAGUAUUCUGGCGGGCAUGCCUGUUCGAGCGUCAUUUCAACCCUCAAGCCCAGCUUGGUGUUGGGACUCGCGAGUCAAAUCGCGUUCCCCAAAUUGAUUGGCGGUCACGUCGAGCUUCCAUAGCGUAGUAGUAAAACCCUCGUUACUGGUAAUCGUCGCGGCCACGCCGUUAAACCCCAACUUCUGAAUGUUGACCUCGGAUCAGGUAGGAAUACCCGCUGAACUUAA
rnacentral:misc_RNA from 1 species